rnacentral:rRNA from 1 species
CGCCGCGUGAGGGACGACGGCCUUCGGGUUGUAAACCUCUUUUAGCAGGGAAGAAGCGAAAGUGACGGUACCUGCAGAAAAAGCGCCGGCUAACUACGUGCCAGCAGCCGCGGUAAUACGUAGGGCGCAAGCGUUAUCCGGAAUUAUUGGGCGUAAAGAGCUCGUAGGCGGUUUGUCGCGUCUGCUGUGAAAUCCGGAGGCUCAACCUCCGGCCUGCAGUGGGUACGGGCAGACUAGAGUGCGGUAGGGGAGAUUGGAAUUCCUGGUGUAGCGGUGGAAUGCGCAGAUAUCAGGAGGAACACCGAUGGCGAAGGCAGAUCUCUGGGCCGUAACUGACGCUGAGGAGCGAAAGGGUGGGGAGCAAACAGGCUUAGAUACCCUGGUAGUCCACCCCGUAAACGUUGGGAACUAGUUGUGGGGUCCAUUCCACGGAUUCCGUGACGCAGCUAACGCAUUAAGUUCCCCGCCUGGGGAGUACGGCCGCAAGGCUAAAACUCAAAGGAAUUGACGGGGACCCGCACAAGCGGCGGAGCAUGCGGAUUAAUUCGAUGCAACGCGAAGAACCUUACCAAGGCUUGACAUAUACGAGAACGGGCCAGAAAUGGUCAACUCUUUG